ACAAAUGACCAACAAAAUCAAUCCAACCCUCCCUCAACCCCACGCCUCUGAUUCUCAACACCUUCCCCUGUUCUCUCUCUCUCUCUCUCUCUCUCUCUUCCCGUCUCUGCAACCUCUCUACUGAUCACAACCCCAUCAAUGGAAGCCUCUUCAAUUCACCAACAAAACCCUUCUCCGCCGCCUCCAAAACCCAUCACUCGAUCCGAAUCUGUAAACCCAUAUCCCACUACCUUCGUCCAAGCCGAUUCCUCCUCUUUCAAACAAGUAGUUCAAAUGCUCACCGGAUCUCCUCAAACUGCUAAGCAAGCUUCUGCUAAGCCGGUUUCCGGUGGUUCCAACGCUGAUUCUGUGUCGAAAACGCACAUUCCGCCUAUGAAAUCGUUGCCCAAAAGGCAGCAAUCUGGGUUUAAGCUCUAUGAGCGGAGGAACUCCUUGAAUAAACUUAAAAUUAACCCGUUGAUUCCGGGGUUUGGUUCGAGUUGUAACUCUGGGUUUUCUCCGAGAAACCCUGAGAUUCUUUCUCCUAGCAUUUUGGAUUUUCCGGCGCUCGCUCUUAGUCCGGUCACGCCGCUUAUUCCUGACCCGUUUGAUCGAUCUGGGUUGGCGAAUGCGAAAUCGGAAGCUGAGGCGGAAGAUAAAGCGAUUAAAGAAAAGGGGUUUUACUUACAUCCAUCACCGACCACUACACCUCGAGAAUCUGAGCCUCGGCUGUUGCCUCUGUUCCCAUUGACAUCGCCUAGAGUUCCAGGCAAUGUUAGUGUUAGUAGAGGUGAAUAAAGAAAAAGGAAGGUCUUGUGCGUGUGGAAUCUUGACAUUUUGUUACCUUUUGUGUUGUAUCUUGAUAGAAAAUUCACCCUCAAAUGUUGGGAGAGAGUCCUACGUCGGCUAAUUAAGGAGAUGAUCAUGGGUUUAUAAGUAAGGAAUCGGGAGAGAGUCCUACAUCGCCUAAUUAAGGAGAUGAUCAUGGGUUUAUAAGCAAGGAAUACAUCUCCAUUGGUAAUACGACCUCCACAAUAGUAUGAUAUUGUCCACUGAGUAUGAGCUCUCGUGGCUUUGCUUUUUGUUACCUCGAAAGGCCUCGUACAAAUAGAGAUGGUAUUCCUUACUUAUAAACCCAUGAUCAUCUCCUUAAUUAGCCAAUGUGGGACUCCCUCCCAACCAUCCUCAACAGGUUCGUGAUUCCUAAUAGGGACCCCAUUUGAAUCCGGUGAAGUUCAUUAGCUGGGCAAUACAAAUCUUAUCAUCAUAGUGUUGUUGGGGCAGCUGACAAUGAAGGAACCCAUCCCCAUGGGUCAACCCAAGUGUGAUGAGUUACUCUCAAGAACAGGUCAUUACAACUGUUUAUAAAUGAGGAGUUUCCCUGUCAGAUAAGGUAGUCAAAUGGGGACAUUGGACUUAGAUGCAUAGCUUUGAAUUUGAACUUGGGUCCGGUGGAUCAUUAAAUGGGUAGACUUGGUUGGGGCCCUUGAAGGCGAAGGGCAUUGUGGGUGUGCUAAAGUGAAGCGAUCAUGGGGAAAGGUAGUGGUGCUUUUAAUAUCUUUUCUGGAGUCUUAACACUUACGCUGGCCUACUUGGCUUGACUCUGAACAGUCCUCUCAAAGUAAAUGGGGACACGGGAAAGUGAAGGAAGGAAGGAGGGAGAGGGGUAAGGCAGAAAACAUGGGUGUCUUUGUCAGUGCUGUUGGUUUGUUUGUUUCUUUGACUCGUUGUUUUUAUAUGUUUAGUAGUAGUUGUGGUGUUUCUUGUUGGUCUGCUUUGCUUUUGUAGACUUUUCGACACUCCCAUGGUGGGGUGUCAUUAAUUGCAAUCGCGAAAGUUGAUUAUUAGUCUAAGUUCACCGCUAGUAGAUAUUGUCUUUUUUAGAUUUUUUCUUUCGGAU